GGAGUUGUGUCAGAGCGGUCGAAUGAGCACGCUUGGAAAGCGUGUAAUGGUGAAAGCCAUUCGAGAGUUCGAAUCUCUCCAACUCCGCCA
rnacentral:tRNA from 1 species